GAUUUGCCCGCUCUUUGCUGUUUUUCUCAUAUCCAAGGACAGGCUCGUUCUCCAAUGGAAAUUCGGGGGGACAUAUCACUGGCACGACACUCGACAAUGACCGUAUUCCAGUUCUAAGAAGAAAUAGUGAAAUAAGUGCACGCUUGGACUUUGAUACAUGGAGUUUCAAGAUAGGGACGAAUUUAUCUGCUAACUAAUACAGGCUUAUCAAUCUGCUUCGACUGUUCAUCAUUAGCAUUUCUCACUCUGGAGACCAUAGACGAUUGCUUGAGCUACUGCCACUCUCUCAAUAAAUUUCGAAGACAUGUAAUUGGAUGAAACAGAUGCAGCAAGUGUAGGUUGCAGCAUUUGAUGCAUCAGUGUGCAUCUUGGUGGCUGGUACGUGGUAUUUUAAAACGCUUCAGCAUAUGUGUGUCAGCAGAUCCAGUGUACCAAGCUGUAUAAUGUAUUUACAAGAGACAUUGCAUAACUACUCUUUUUAACACCUGAGGAUCAACUUAUCAUGGUGAUGAAAAAUCUUCGUUUAUGAUAGCCAAAGUAUGAUAUGGUUAAUAAAAUUUUAAGGAAUAAAUAAAGUACAACAAAAAAAGGUGCUGUACUUUCUCAAAGUUAUCAGUGUAGUGAAAUAGCAUGGGGAUUAGAUGAAUAUGUAUAAUCGGGCUACAUCUAUUACACUGCAAGCCAAUUAUGCACGCUGCAUGCAUAUAUAUGUAUAUAGUAGGCAUGUACUUGCGAAUGUAUAAGCAAGCUAUGGGUAAAUCGAAUGCAAGUACCAAAGCAGGUAUAUAGGUGUGACGGAAUUGAAACAGUCGAAUAUGCCAGGUAUGAGAAUAGUGGAAUAUACCGACGGCGAGCCUGAAUCAAUGAGAAUUCAUAAACGCGCUGUCGAUAUUUCAAAUUUUUCUUUCUUUUUCUAUUUUUUGUAAUAGUUCAGACUCACUUUUGUCCGCCGGAGAUGACAGCUUGUCGACAUACGCUUAGCAUUGUUACGUGUUAUGCCUUUUACCCCACCCAAGGAUGUAGGAUUUUCUGCGACUGGUGGCACGAGUGUGGCGUUAGGAUUAUAAUAUUUGUUACGUUCGUCCUGAUGUCGCGGAACUGUUGAGUCGGCUCUAGACCAUCAAA